rnacentral:lncRNA from 1 species
GCUGAACAUCAAAUUGCAUUUGAACAUUUUCUUUUGCGUGAUAUAUUCUACCAACUAUAUAGGUAUUUAAAUUGUUUUCUGACAUUGAAAAUUAUUUUGUUGACUUUUUUUAGACCGAUGUAAAUGGGAAGUGUCCAACCAAAUACCAUCUGGAAUAUGUUAAUGGAACUGUUUUAAUCAUUAGCAAAAAGAAAGACAUCCAGAAUUGCAAUGCUCGAUAUCAACUUCACUCAAUUCUACCAACUUCACCAUAUGUAUUCCAAAAUGUGAGAUCUAUUCGUUUUAUUAAUAAUUGCAAUCACCACCUUCUUGCCAGCCUCAAAAUAUGUUUUCCGGAUCUUCUGUGCUUGAAUGUUAAAGUAUACUUAUGAAAUUAAACUUUGUUUCUCUGCGUUCUUUUGCUUACAUUGGAGCCAUCAAAAAAGCAAAUGUCGAACAUUAAAAUAAUGACACAGCCAGUAAAUCAGUCUGUUUUCAGAAGGACAAGUUUUCUUAGGUUUCAAAAUUCCCUGACUUAUACAUAAUUCUCUAACUUUUCCUUGAUUAAAUAACUGUCAGUAAUUUUUGUAGAAGCCCUUUAAUUUAACAGGAUUCAACUCUCAAGAAUGAAGUUCAAAACUUUACAUUUUGAGCACUAAAGAGGUUUUUUGUUGGUAAUUUUAGAAUUUUAAGAAAGCUCAAUUAAAUACCAAAUAGAAUUUAAAGUAUCAACUUUCGACUCUUUCAAUUUUGAACAUUCUUUUCUUUUUUUUAGAAAUACCAUAAGUGGACUCCUAUGUCAGCUACUCUUGAAUGUAGACAGUACAUUGAUCAUGGAGUGUAUCUGACCGUAUCAUGCCAAGAGACGCAUUCCUUCCAGCCUUUGCUCAACCAGUCACACAACGCAGUUACAACGGUGUCGCAAAAACUUCAACUUUUGGACGAGGAGUAUGUUUCUGAGUAUGACUUGGACGAGAAAUUUGAAACAGGUCCUAUCGGUAAACGAGUUUCUCUCUUGUUUGAUCACGAAAAGCCUAAAAAAUUAGAAGUACAUGAGCUCCAUGAAAGCAAAAGCUUUUUGAAACAACUUUGUCGUCUAGAUCAGGUAACACUCAGCAGGUGAUUUCAGUUUCAGGCUCUGUGAUUUUUGCAAAUUGACGAAACAAUUUUAUUCACUUAAAAUCCAUUAUAAAUAAUCAAUUCUAUUCGAGACAGGCAAUUAAUAUCAGCACCAACUGUUUUACAAAGAUUUAAAUAGAUAUAACUCAGUAUUGCCAACUCUUACAUAUCAC